GACGAACGCUGGCGGCGUGCCUAAUACAUGCAAGUCGAGCGGAUUGAUGGGAGCUUGCUCCCUGAUAUCAGCGGCGGACGGGUGAGUAACACGUGGGCAACCUGCCUAUAAGACUGGGAUAACUUCGGGAAACCGGAGCUAAUACCGGAUAAUCCCUUUCCUCUCAUGAGGAAAGGCUGAAAGAUGGUCUACGCUAUCACUCAUGGAUGGGCACGCGGCGCAUUAGCUAGGUGGUGAGGUAACGGCUCACCAAGGCAACGAUGCGUAGCCGACCUGAGAGGUGGAUCGGACACACUGGGACUGAGACACGGCCCAGACUCCUACGGGAGGCAGCAGUAGGGAAUCUUCCGCAAUGGACGAAAGUCUGACGGAGCAACGCCGCGUGAGUGAUGAAGGUUUUCGGAUCGUAAAACUCUGUUGUUAGGGAAGAACAAGUACGAGAGUAACUGCUCGUACCUUGACGGUACCUAACCAGAAAGCCACGGCUAACUACGUGCCAGCCGCCGCGGUAA
rnacentral:rRNA from 1 species